UGCAGGCAGGAAGAAAAUAAUCUGGGAGAUGGUGGACUGAAGCGACUGAGUGAGGCUCUGAGGAACCCGGAGUUUAAAAUACAGGUUCUGGUGCUGCAGAACCAUACUCUGGGAGAUUGUGGAGUGAAGCAACUGUGUGAGGAUCUGAGGAAUCUGGAUUGUAAAAUAUCAAGUCUAUGGCUGAGCGACAUCGAUCUAACAACAGAUUGUACUGAGGAUCUGGCCUCCGCUCUCACAAUAAACCACUCAUUGACGCAGCUUAACCUGAUUUAUAAUAAUCUGGGAGAUUGUGGAGCAAAACGACCGUGUGUGGCUCUGAGGAACCCGGAGUGCAAAAUACAGAGACUGGAGUUGGGGGGCAAUAAACUGGGAGAUUGUGAAGUGAAGCGACUGUGUGAGGCUCUGAGGAACCCGGAGUGUAAAAUACAGAGUCUGU